UCCAAACCCUCCUGCUUAUUAGCAAAAGUCCUUCUUGGGAAAUACUGCAAAUCGUCUUCUUUCUUGGACUGUGAGGUUUCCUCUACGGCUUCCCAUGGGUGGAGAGGCAUUUGUAUUGGCCGGGAUCUACUGAAGUCUCAUCUGGGAAAGGCCAUUGGGUCGGGAAAGAACACGCUACUAUGGUAUGAACCAUGGAUCUCUUUGGUUAAACCAACCCAUCCCAUGGGACCCCCAACUGAACAAAGUCUCUCCUUGACUGUUGAUCAUCUUAUCUGCCCAAUUUCAAAGACCUGGAAUAGAGAGAAAAUAAGACUCUUGCUCCCAGCCUACGAAGAUGAGAUUUUAGCAAUUAAACCAAGCAAAACAGAUGCUGAGGAUCGACACAUCUGGCUUCUUACCAAGAAUGGAGCUUAUUCUGCAAAAUCGGGUUAUAUUGCAGCCACUAUUGAGGCAUCGCUUGGCCCUAGUCAACAAGACUCCUUUUCAGGUUUCAACUGGUUCAAAGAUCUCUGGAAUAUCAAAUGUCAACCAAAAAUCAAGUUUUUCUUAUGGAAACUUUUGAGAGACGCUUUACCUCUUGGCUCUAAUCUCAGCCUUAGAGGAUUUAACCUUGAUGCUCUUUGCCCUCAUUGCCAACAAGAAGAAUCUGGAC
rnacentral:lncRNA from 1 species